rnacentral:rRNA from 1 species
AUUGAACGCUGGCGGCAUGCUUUACACAUGCAAGUCGAACGGUAACAGGCCGCAAGGUGCUGACGAGUGGCGAACGGGUGAGUAAUGCAUCGGAACGUGCCCAGUCGUGGGGGAUAACGCAGCGAAAGCUGCGCUAAUACCGCAUACGGUCUAUGGAUGAAAGCGGGGGACCGUAAGGCCUCGCGCGAUUGGAGCGGCCGAUGUCAGAUUAGGUAGUUGGUGGGGUAAAGGCUCACCAAGCCAACGAUCUGUAGCUGGUCUGAGAGGACGACCAGCAACAGUGGGACAGAGACACGGCCAAGACUCCAACGGGAGGCAGCAGUGGGGAAGUUUGGACAAUGGGCGAAAGCCUGAUCCCGCAAUGCCGCGUGCAGGAAGAAGGCCUUCGGGUUGUAAACUGCUUUUGUACGGAACGAAACGGCUCUGGUUAAUACCUGGGGCUAAUGACGGUACCGUAAGAAUAAGCACCGGCUAACUACGUGCCAGCCGCCGCCGUAAAAC